rnacentral:rRNA from 1 species
CAAUAGCGUAUAUUAAAGUUGUUGCAGUUAAAACGCUCGUAGUCGGAUUUCGGGGCGGGUCCGCCGGUCUGCCGAUGGGUACGCACUGGCGGGCGCGUCCUUCCUUCCGGAGACUGGCCCUACUCUUAGCUGAGCGGGGUCGGGAGUCGGAUCGUUUACUUUGAAAAAAUCAGAGUGUUUCAAGCAGGCAGCUCGCUCUUGCAUGGAUUAGCAUGGGAUAAUGAAAUAGGACUUUGGUGCUAUUUUGUUGGUUUCGAACACCGAAGUAAUGAUUAACAGGGACAGUCAGGGGCACUCGUAUUCCGCCGAGAGAGGUGAAAUUCUCAGACCAGCGGAAGACGAACCACUGCGAANGNAUUUGCNAGGGAUGUUUNCACUG